CUAGUUUAAAGGAAAGCCAACUAAUUCUGCUUUUCUCCCUCAUAGGAAAAAGAAUUGGUAGAAAUUAAUGAUAGUGUUUUCACAGCGCCUGCUAUACAAAGGUCUCUUAGCUCUUGAUUCUCAGGACUGGGUAUGAAUUUAGAAUGUAGAAUUUAGAACUACAAGGAUUCAUGAAAAUAUUCCCCAUGCUUGGCAGAGGUUUUUCUAAGGUUACAAUUUUCUAUCCAGCACAGACUAGCGUGAGGAGAUACAAAGAAAAGAAACAGAGUGUCUAUGUAAGGAUCAGAUGUAAAUUAAAUGAUAAAAGACUGGGGGGAAACGCCUGGAAACAAUGCUGAAGAUCACUUUUGCUGCAGGAUGGAGAACAAGUUAAAGAAGGCCAGUUAGAAGGUGUGGCGAUGAUCCUGUCAAGAGAUGAUGUGGCCUAAAUCAGAGCAUGGCAAAGGGACUGAUGAAAAAUAGACUUGUGGCUGCAAGGGUGACUCUUCACAGCUCCAAACCCCACCACUGCCACCAACUGCAGAAACAACAAGAAUUCACUUUACUUCCUCUUUCUCAAAAGAACCAAAAUCCAUUCGUGCUCACCAUGUUGCAGCCACCCUUCCAUCCUCUGUUCUUGGUUCCCAGGCAGCUUAUUUCCUUCAUGUCGCUGGCGCAGACUCAACCUCUCUUACUUUUUCUCUGGAAUCUCCACUCUUUAGCAGAUGUUAACUGAAGGAGAAAGAGAAAGUAAUAGUUUUUCUCCCUUGGAAGUUUGCCUCAAAUCAAUCAAUUUGCCAUAUUUAACAUUCCAGCUUUGUGCACAUGCUAAUAAAUCAUUAAAAUUCGCGUGGAUCCUAACAUUGUUGGAUUUUCUUUCUUUUCCUGUGUUUCAUAAUUUCUACCCAAUUGUGUAAACUGUAAUGUUCCAAGGGACAGUAAUCACCAGCAGAAAUCUGCAUUGUAUACAGGACUAAACAGAGGAAUCUCAAGUUAAAAAU
rnacentral:lncRNA from 1 species